GACGAACGCUGGCGGCGUGCUUAACACAUGCAAGUCGAACGGAAAGGCCCUGCUUUUGUGGGGUGCUCGAGUGGCGAACGGGUGAGUAACACGUGAGUAACCUGCCCUUGACUUUGGGAUAACUUCAGGAAACUGGGGCUAAUACCGGAUAGGAGCUCCUGCUGCAUGGUGGGGGUUGGAAAGUUUCGGCGGUUGGGGAUGGACUCGCGGCUUAUCAGCUUGUUGGUGGGGUAGUGGCUUACCAAGGCUUUGACGGGUAGCCGGCAUGAGAGGGUGACCGGCCACAUUGGGACUGAGAUACGGCCCAGACUCCUACGGGGGGCAGCAGUGGGGAAUAUUGCACAAUGGGCGGAAGCCUGAUGCAGCAACGCCGCGUGCGGGAUGACGGCCUUCGGGUUGUAAACCGCUUUCGCCUGUGACGAAGCGUGAGUGACGGUAAUGGGUAAAGAAGCACCGGCUAACUACGUG
rnacentral:rRNA from 1 species